CCUCCUUUGUUCUGCCGUGGGGAAUAUUGGACAAUGGGGGAAACCCUGAUCCAGCGACGCCGCGUGAGUGAAGAAGUAUUUCGGUACUUAAAGCUCUAUCAGCAGGAAAGAAAAUGACGGUACCUGACUAAGAAUCCCCGGCUAACUACGGUCCAGCAGCCGCGGUAAUACGUAGGGGGCAAGCGUUAUCCGGAUUUACUGGGUGUAAAGGGAGCGUAGACGGCAGCGCAAGUCUGUAGUGAAAUGCCGGGGCCCAACCCCGGAACUGCUCUGGAAACUGUGAAGCUUGAGUGCAGGAGAGGUAAGCGGAAUUCGUGGUGUAGCGGUGAAAUGCGUAGAUAUCAGGAGGAACACCGGCGGCGAAGGCGGCUUACUGGACUGUAACUGACGUUGAGGCUCGAAGGCGUGGGGAGCAAACAGGAUUAGAUACCCGGGUAGUC
rnacentral:rRNA from 1 species